UCCCUGGUGGCUCAAACAGUAAAGAAUCUGCCUGAAAUGCAGGAGACCCAGGUUCAAUCCCUGGGUUAGGAA
rnacentral:tRNA from 1 species